rnacentral:tRNA from 1 species
GCUCAGUUGGUAAAGCAUGGUACAGCUUGUGACUCUUGAUCUCAAGGUCAUGAGUUCAAGCCCCACACUGGGCA